GGUCCUGUAGCUCAAUUGGCAGAGCAACUGACUCUUAAUCAGCAGGUUGAAGGUUCGAGUCCUUCUAGGGUCA
rnacentral:tRNA from 1 species